GAUGAACGCUGGCGGCGUGCCUAAUACAUGCCAGUCGAGCGAACAGACGAGGAGCUUGCUCCUCUGACGUUAGCGGCGGACGGGUGAGUAACACGUGGAUAACCUACCUAUAAGACUGGGAUAACUUCGGGAAACCGGAGCUAAUACCGGAUAAUAUAUUGAACCGCAUGGUUCAAUAGUGAAAGACGGUUUUGCUGUCACUUAUAGAUGUAUCCGCGCCGCAUUAGCUAGUUGGUAAGGUAACGGCUUACCAAGGCGACGAUGCGUAGCCGACCUGAGAGGGUGAUCGGCCACACUGGAAGUGAGACACGGUACAGACUCCGACGGGAGGCAGCAGUAGGGACUCUUCCGCAAUGGGCGAAAGCCUGACGGAGCAACGCCGCGUGAGUGAUGAAGGUCUUCGGAUCGUAAAACUCUGUUAUUAGGGAAGAACAAAUGUGUAAGUAACUAUGCACGUCUUGACGGUACCUAAUCAGAAAGCCACGGCUAACUACGUG
rnacentral:rRNA from 1 species